UUCAGUUUCUUACAACUUUCCUCACAGUCUCGGCGAGCGGUUCUGCAGCGAACAGUGCAAAUAUCAGCCACCGCUGUUGACACGAUCAUUCCAACGACCAGCAGAGAAACCAAUAGUUUGACCUGAAAAUUGACACUGAAGGUAUUCCCGCAGUUAGCGACGCAGUCCCGUCUUCUCCUGGCAUUCAGUUUCUUACAACUUUCCUCACAGCCUCGACGAGCGGUGCUGCAGCGAACAGUGCAAAUAUCAGCCACCGCUGUUGACACGAUCAUUCCAAGGACCAGCAGGGAAACCAAUAGUUUGACCUGAAAAUUGACAUUGAAGGUAUUCCCGCAGUCAGCGACGCAGUCCCGUCUUCUCCUGGCUUUCAGUUUCUUACAACUUUCCUCACAAUCUCGGCGAGCGGUGCUGCAGCGAACAGUGCAAAUAUCAGCCACCGCUGUUGACACGAUCAUUCCAACGACCAGCAAGGAAACCAAUAAUUUGAUCUGAAAAUUGACAUUGAAGGUAUUCCCGCA